rnacentral:rRNA from 1 species
GACGAACGCUGGCGGUGUGCUUAACACAUGCAAGUCGAACGGAAAGGCCUCUUUCGGGGGGUACUCGAGUGGCGAACGGGUGAGUAACACGUGAGUAACCUGCCCUUGACUUUGGGAUAACUUCAGGAAACUGGGGCUAAUACCGGAUAGGAGCUCCUGCUGCAUGGUGGGGGUUGGAAAGUUUCGGCGGUUGGGGAUGGACUCGCGGCUUAUCAGCUUGUUGGUGGGGUAGUGGCUUACCAAGGCUUUGACGGGUAGCCGGCCUGAGAGGGUGACCGGCCACAAUGGGACUGAGAUACGGCCCAGACUCCUACGGGAGGCAGCAGUGGGGAAUAUUGCACAAUGGGUGGAAGCCUGAUGCAGCAACGCCGUGUGCGGGAUGACGGCCUUCGGGUUGUAAACCGCUUUCGCUCAUGACGAAGCUUUGUGUGACGGUAGUGGGUAAAGAAGCACCGGCUAACUACGUG